GCCCGGCGUGGUGUGGUUCGGUGAGGCGCUGCCCGAAGCGGCGCUGGCCGCGGCGGUGCAGGCGGCCGCCGCGUGC
rnacentral:tRNA from 1 species